AUGGUUCUGAAGGCUGUACAGGAAGUGUGGCGCCAGCAUCUACUUCUGGUGAGGACUCAGGGAGCCUACAAUCAUGGCAGAAGGCGAAGCGGGAGCAGGCACAUCGCAUGGUGACAGAGGGCAAGAGAGAGAAGGGAGAAGGUGCCAGUCUCUUUAAACAACCAGCUCUCUUGUGAACUAAUAGAAUGAGACUCAUUACUGCGAGGUGGGCACUAAGACAUUCAUGAGGGAUCCACCCCCAUGACCCUAACACCUCCCACCAGACCCCACCUCCAACACUGGAGAUUACAUUUCAACAUGAGAUUUGGAAGGGACAAACAUCCAACCGUAUUAGCUACCAAAGCAGAGAGAACCAGUCUGCCCCAGGCUAGGUUGGGGAACAGGAAAUUCCCUGAAAGAGCAGAUGCCUUGGUACAAGUUAGGGGGGCCCACCAUAGUAGUCCUGGCAAGAACAGGCAGAGGCCUGAACAGACACAGGCAGCGUCACAGAAUAGAAAGGAAUGGCUCCUUGAGAGGGGCCCCAAAAAGGACUUGGCAGAGGGAAAUUGCCCCAAGAUUCCCCCAGUUUCUAGUUCAUGACGUUGCAGGGAUGGAGGAUACCAUUAACUGAAGGAAGAAAGCAAGAGAAUAGAUCUAUGGGCAAAAGGAUUUUUCCACAAAUAAUAUAACCUGAUCAUACAAAUAUCUGAUAUAACAUUUUUGAAAGAUUCUCUAUAGCUUUCAGGAUAACAUUCACACUCUAUUGUUUAGCAUGUAUGGCCCUCCACAUUCAUUCUUCUCUAGGUUUAUUUCUUGUCACUCACCCAAGUUCAUCCUUAGUUCCAGCAACACAAAACUACUAGUAAUUCUCAGCCACGUUCCCUGGCUGUUGAAUGGUUUUGCAUGUGUGAUUCUCUCUGUCUAGAAAGCUCUCUGUUAUGAACAUCUGUUGCUUUAGUGUUCUCAGCAUCCCCCCUCAUUCCAUGUGGUCCUAAUGGAACUGCCAACCACAGUAUCCUGUCCCCUAUUCCCAGUGCUGGGUAGCAGAUCCAGGCCCGUUCAGUCACAGUACCCAUCCCCCAGCCACAGUGAUUGACCUGGGAUUGGCACAUGACCCAAGCUGGGCCAAUCAGAGCCCUUCCGUGGGAUUUUACAUAUGGGUGCUGGGAAAGUUCUCUCUUUUUUCUGGAGCCAAAAAACUCGGUUAAUAUAAGCCUGGAACUGCCUGUGGCCAGGGCCCUCCUGCCCCUGAAACCUGGAGGAAGCUAACCUGAUUAGGAGAGAAUGAGUCCAACACAGAGGAAGAAGCAGCAGAGCUGGAUCUUUCCUUAGAAUGAGGACCCUGCUCAGUUGCCCCCUCCCAGUCAUGUGGUGAGUACUGGGAGGAGGGGAGAGUCCAGGCCUCUGGCUGGUAUGGUGGGAUUCCACGGAAUUGGGGUCUACAUCUCCCAGAUUUUAAAGGGUAGAUGCCCAAGGACUCGGAAUGGACUUCCUUCUUACAACUCCACCCCAUCUGCUUCCUCAGAAAAGUUCAUCGUCUAAUUACACCUGCUUCCUGCCCUUCUCAACAUGAAACAUAAUCACCAACACAAGGGCAAUUAGAUGGCCAGGCACCAAGGAAAAUGAUUCCCUGGGCCAAUCCUCACCACAACCCUAGGAGGCCCUGGCAUCCUUGCUACUGUCUGCCUCUGUGAACAUGACUACUCUAGGUACCUCAUGUAAGUGGAAUCACACAAUAUUUGUCUUUUUAUGACCGACUCACACGUCCUCAAGGUUCAUCCGUGUUGGAGACUGUGUCAGAAUUUCCUAGAGUUAGAGUUUUGCAAGAUGGAAGGCGUUCUGAAGAUGGAUGGUAGUAAUUUGAACAACAUUGUAAAUGUACUUAAUGCCACUGAACGGUACACUUAAAGAUGGCUAAAAUGGUACAUUUUAUGUUGUGUGUAUUUUAAUAAAAUUUAAAAACAAUAGCAAGC
rnacentral:lncRNA from 10 species